ACCUUGACAUUGCUAUUUCUAAAUUGCAGAGAAAAAAAAAAACAAGCAUCAAAUAAAUGUCAUAGAAAAUUGGACAACAUCAAAUAACACUAGUCCAGAUCUUUAAAGCUGACCUUUAAAGCUUACCCUCUCCUACAUCUUUUCUUCCCUUCACUGAGAAACUUGUUCUAUAUCAUGUUAUAUAUUCCAUGUGAUUUUUUGAGAGAGAGAGAGAGAGAGGAUUUAUAUAUAUAUAUAUUAGUUUUCGGCUGACACAACAUCUUUGUUUGUAUGUGGUGCUGAGGAUCAAACCCGGGCCGCACACAUGCCAGGGGAGCGCUACGGCUUGAGCCACAUCCCCAGCCCUCCAAGUGAUUUUUGCUAGAGUGAAUCAUUCUAUAUGACCACUAUUUUCAUGUGUUAGGUGCAUUUUAUUCUAUCAAGAAGCUUUAAAAAAAACGUCAUGAUCUUUAUUAAAAAAAAAAAAAACCUCUUCAUAAUUACAUGAGUAAAAUAAAAUUGUAAGGUGAAACUUAAGACCACAGAUUUCCAAUGCUUAUUCUGAAGAACCAAAGAAAAAUGGGAAAAAAAGAAAAGGAAAAUGUAUGUAUUGAUGUCCCAGAAACUUUUGAAAUGCAUGACUUGAGCAAACCACUUCCUCAGGAUUUAGGGUCCUAUAACAUUGAAUUACUACACAAAAUAAAACUCUUGUAACACCAGCUGAAGUCAUCAAUGGGCAAAAGUGUAAUGAGCCUCAAAAACUGCAACUUCCAAGAUUCCUGAAGGUAUUUUUGUUGAGAUUAUUACAUAUUCUUACAUUAAAGAAAAUCAUUACAGGGGAUGGGGUUGUGGCUCAGCAGGAGAGUACUCACCUAACACAAGCAAGGCCCUGAGUUUGAUUCUCAACACCACAUAAAAAUAAAUAAAUGAAAUAAAGGUAUUGUGUCAACUAAAAAAAUAAAUAAAAGAAAAUCAUUACAUAAUGAGAUUGGUCAAAUUAUGUUAUGUGCAUGAACGAAUAUGGUAUAAUGAAUCUUAC
rnacentral:lncRNA from 1 species